CUUUCUUACUCUUUUGUUCUUUCCCAAUUGCUUAGAUGAUUCUUCCUGGAAAAACAAAAAUCACACAAAUACGAUUUCAGUAAUCUCUUGCCUUCUAGUAAAGACCACUUUGCUUUUCUGUGCACUGCUAACAUUCUUUUGAGGUGACUCACUACAGUACACUUAAUAGUGUAAUCAGUUUAAAAUAUUCAUAGUUCAGAGAUUGUGAUCAUACAGACUUGUAUAUUUAACAACCUAACUUUCUUAUUUAGUAAAUUUUUGUCUUGACCAACUCUAAAACCUUUAUUCAUAGUUAGAAAAGGAAUGAUCACCCUGACUCUGACCUCGCUUACAACAGUUAAGCUCUUCAGGGCAAGGAUCUUAUCUUCCUCUGUACAUCAACUAACAGAAUGGAUCUCUGAACCUAACUGGGGGCUCUGGGCACUGCCCCAAUAAGCACUCUGAUAAUAAGGAAGAGAGCUGAAUGAAUACAUAAGAUAGACAUAAUAACUAACUUCACAUUGGUGUGACUUCAUUGAAGUGGACCAACAUGUGUGCUUCACUCACUAUCUUGCACUUUAGAACCAAAAAAGAAUGAAAGUGCUCACCCCAAUAGCCAGCUGGGGUUUUGGUGGAGGCAGGAGUAGUGGAGACAUCUCAACCAGAAGCAGCUAAUGCAGUGUUCCACAUGCCCCCUUGCUUCCCAUACUCCCCCUUCACCUCUGGUGGGUAUGGGAUGAGGCUCUCUCCUACUGCCACUGGGUUGGUGGACGGAGGAGGGGGUGCAGGGCUGGAUGACUGGCUCCCAUCUGGUGCAGUGGGGGAAAGGCAGUGAUAAGGUUUGCUUCCCAGGUGGGGAAGCCUGCAGGCUCUGUUUCAGCCCCACUUUUAAGCUACUAAUGCUGGAUCUCCUCUGAUGCCAGGGGCUAACUUGACAGCCAGUUCUGCAAAGGAUUUUUUUCCUUACCUGAUGAAAUUAGCAAGUUGCUAUGUGGAAGGUGAGAAAACUCACACGGCAUCCAGGAGAUAUGAGAAAUUUAAUUACAAUUGUUAUAACUUUGGUACGAUCUGGUGUGGCUGGAUUAGGAAGGGUACAAUUAAAGGCGCUAAACCCAGCAGGCUGCUUGAGCAUUGGUCCGAAGCACUUUCAUGGAAUAGCAAUGGGGUAUGCCUAUAUGUCUCAUGGAGCUUGUGGCUUACCUCAUCUCGUGUCUCCUACCUCCAGCAUGGAGGAAAGGAGUGGGUCAGGACUCUAGCUUCCAGUCUGGGGUGCCUGGCAGACCUAAGGGUGACCUUCACUCUCACGUUGAGGUUUAUAAUAUAUUGGGGUAUAGGGUGGCUUAUCCUAGUAUGGUAUGAUUUGUUAAUAAAAAUACAGCCUCCAUAUUUAAUCACAUUAUGGUAUCUGUGUCUCACUGUUACUGUGUUCAAAUCAACACACAGUGUUUACAAGCUGACCACAAUGCAGGGCCUCUAGUUUCUCAUGUCUGGUGUAAGUAUCAAACACAUCUGAACCUGCUGUAAAAACCUGUUGCCUUCUAUUGGCAUGCAAUUCUCACAUUUCAUGCAUAAUUUACAAAAUGCCUUUGAUCCUUUACUGGAAACUAGCAUUUAAAAUGAAACGGAGAAGUCCAUUAGUGGAACACAUUAAAGAGUAUGUUUGCAUCGUGAUUGCUAUGCUGAA